rnacentral:lncRNA from 1 species
CUCCGGUAGCCCCCACUCAGCCUCCUCCUUCAGUCUCUCCACCCUCUCCUAGGUCAAGGUCUAUCUGUUUCUCUUCUAAGGUUGUUACAACUAGGAGAAAAAUAGAUUUUGAUUUUCUGAAAAGUGAGGGUUUUGAGAUUGGUGAAUGCCUAAAAUUUUAAGGAUGGAAAUAUCUGUGUUCUGGUAUUGAUCUUCCAACCUAUCCAAAUCUAGUGAGGAAAUUUUAUGCAAAUGCCAUUGUCCAAACAAAAUCCUU